rnacentral:rRNA from 1 species
AUUGAACGCUGGCGGCAUGCUUUACACAUGCAAGUCGAACGGUAACAGGGUGCUUGCACCGCUGACGAGUGGCGAACGGGUGAGUAAUGCAUCGGAAUGUACCGUGUAAUGGGGGAUAGCUCGGCGAAAGCCGGAUUAAUACCGCAUACGCCCUGAGGGGGAAAGUGGGGGACCGAAAGGCCUCACGUUAUACGAGCAGCCGAUGUCUGAUUAGCUAGUUGGUGAGGUAAAGGCUCACCAAGGCGUCGAUCAGUAGCGGGUCUGAGAGGAUGAUCCGCCACACUGGGACUGAGACACGGCCCAGACUCCUACGGGAGGCAGCAGUGGGGAAUUUUGGACAAUGGGCGCAAGCCUGAUCAAGCCAUGCCGCGUGUCUGAAGAAGGCCUUCGGGUUGUAAAGGACUUUUGUCCGGGAGCAAAUCCUAGUGGUUAAUAACCGCUGGGUCUGAGAGUACCGGAAGAAUAAGCACCGGCUAACUACGUG